CUAUAUUCUGCACUUAAACAGUUCCUUUUGGGCGGAAGCUCUGCCUUUGGGGAAGAGACGCCAGGCCUUUCCAGAAUCUGGUCUAAGGCUGUCUUUCAGGAUGUGCUGUCAAGGCUUAUUCCUCAGAGAACAGCUGUUGGCAAAAGGAGAAACGCCUGUUAUAAGGUUGUCCUGUGAGAAGUAGAUGACUUCUCAGGAAACCGCUCUCCAGCCUGGUCAUCAGCGGUGUUAACCAUCAAAGAAAGAAAGCAGCAACCAGGAGUGAGGUGUCCAGAGAAAAGCCAAGGUUCAGACAAGCCCAAGAUGGCUGUGUGCACGUCCAACGCUGUCCGGAAGGAACCCAGCAGAGUUAGGACUGUCAUCAUCCACUUCACAGAUUGGGAAAAGGAUGCUCAAAGAGGUGAGGCAACUUGUCCAAGGUCAUGCAGCUCCUCAGAGGUCAAACCAGGGUUCCAGCCCACCUGGGCUGGAGCACAGUGCUCUUCCCGACAGCAAACUGGGAUGUUUCCAGAAGACCAAGAUGGUAUACUGUGGUCUUUAAGCUGCAUGGAUGGUGAGGGCCUUGGGCUGCACUGGGGUUUCAGACA